rnacentral:rRNA from 1 species
UACGUAGGGUGCAAGCGUUACUCGGAAUUACUGGGCGUAAAGCGUGCGUAGGCGGUUUGUUAAGUCUGAUGUGAAAGCCCUGGGCUCAACCUGGGAAUUGCAUUGGAUACUGGCAGGCUAGAGUGCGGUAGAGGGUAGUGGAAUUCCCGGUGUAGCAGUGAAAUGCGUAGAGAUCGGGAGGAACACCAGUGGCGAAGGCAGUCAACUGGCCCUCAACUGACGCUGAGGCACGAAAGCGUGGGGAUCAAACAGG